rnacentral:rRNA from 1 species
CAGCCGCCCGGGAAUACGAAGGGUGCAAGCGUUACUCGGAAUUACUGGGCGUAAAGCGUGCGUAGGCGGCUUUUUAAGUCGGAUGUGAAAUCCCUGAGCUUAACUUAGGAAUUGCAUUCGAUACUGGGAAGCUAGAGUAUGGGAGAGGAUGGUAGAAUUCCAGGUGUAGCGGUGAAAUGCGUAGAGAUCUGGAGGAAUACCGAUGGCGAAGGCAGCCAUCUGGCCUAAUACUGACGCUGAGGUACGAAAGCAUGGGGAGCAAACAGGAUUAGAUACCCCUGUAGUCCCUGUCUCUUAUACA